GUGCCCGCCUCGGCACAUAUACUAAAAUUGGAACAAUACAGAGAAGAUUAUCAUGGCCCCUGCGCAAGGGUGACACACAAAUUCAUGAAGCGUUCCGUAAAAAC
ensembl:snRNA LOC120095354 U6 spliceosomal RNA